rnacentral:rRNA from 1 species
AGGGUUCGAUUCUGGCUCAGAACGAACGCUGGCGGCAUGGAUUAGGCAUGCAAGUCGAACGGGAGCAGCAAUGCUCCAGUGGCGCAAGGGUGAGGAACACGUGAACAACCUGCCUUCGAGUUGGGGAUAGCUUCUGGAAACGGGAGAUAAUACCGAAUAACAUCUUCGGAUCGCAUGAUCCGGGGAUCAAAGCAGCAAUGCGCUUGAAGAGGGGUUCGCGUCCCAUUAGCUAGUUGGUGAGGUAACGGCCCACCAAGGCGAUGAUGGGUAGCUGGUCUGAGAGGACGAUCAGCCACAUUGGGACUGAGAUACUGCCCAGACUCCUACGGGAGGCUGCAGUCGAGAAUUUUGGGCAAUGGACGAAAGUCUGAACCCCCAGCAAUGCCGCGUGCGGGAUGAAGGUCUUCGGAUUGUAAACCGCUGUCAAGAGGGACGAAAUUUGACGGUACCUCUGGAGGAAGCCACGGCUAACUACGUGCCAGCCGCCGC